GAUGAACGCUGGCGGCGUGCCUAAUACAUGCAAGUCGAGCGAACAGACGCUGAGCUUGCUCCUCUGACGUUAGCGGCGCACGUGUGAGUCACACGUGUAUAACCUACCUAUAAGAGGGGGAAAAUUUCGGGACACCGGAGCUUAUACGGUAGAAUCUAUUGAACCACAGGGUGCAAUGGAGAGAGACGGUUUUGCGGUAACGAAUAGCUGGAUCCGCGCCGCAUUAGCUAGUUGGUACGUUAACAGCCUACCAAGGCAACGAGGCGUGGGCGACCUGAGAGGGUGAUCGGCCACACUGGAGCGGAGACACCGUCCAGACUCCUACGGGAGGCAGCAGUAGGCAAUCUGCCGCAAUGGGCGAAAGCCUGACGGAGCAACGCCGCGUGAGUGAUGACGGUCUUCGGAUCGUAAAACUCUGUUAUUAGGGAAGAACAACUGUGUAAGUAACUAUGCACGUCUUGACGGUACCUAGUCAGAAAGCCACGGCUAACUACGUG
rnacentral:rRNA from 1 species